rnacentral:rRNA from 1 species
GACAGAGGAUGCAAGCGUUUAUCCGGAAUGAUUGGGCGUAAAGCGUCUGUAGGUGGCUUUUUAAGUCCGCCGUCAAAUCCCAGGGCUCAACCCUGGACAGGCGGUGGAAACUACCAAGCUGGAGUACGGUAGGGGCAGAGGGAAUUUCCGGUGGAGCGGUGAAAUGCGUAGAGAUUGGAAAGAACACCAAUGGCGAAAGCACUUUACUGGGCUAUCACUGACACUGAGAGACGAAAGCUAGGGUAGCAAAUGGG